UUCUCAGUUUCAACUGCAUGAAGACAAAAUGCAGGCUGUCAAUUCGAUGAACAGAUUGUGAUUAGGCUGGGGGAGGCUAGAAUUGUAAUAAUUUUAUAGCUACAAUAAUAAAGACCCAGAAGUGGGCAAGACCUAUGCAAGUUCACAGACUAGGUUAAAGAAAAGGCCAGCGUUGAAGAUGUGGGUGAUUUCCAAGAAGGAUAAUCGACUUCGAGACAAGUCAAGAACACGAUCUGGGAAUCAGCUCCCUUGACCUAGAGGCCGGUGUCCUCCCAUGGAUGGCCUUUAAAACAACUGGCUGGCAUAUAAUAAGAGGGGCACCUGUUGGAAGACUCCGGAGAAGGAAGACGCAUCUGAAAUUUGGUGCCAUGACUCGAAUCGGGGGACCUCCCUUGGAAGAUCAAUCCCCUGUCCUCCUGCUCUUUACUCCAUGAGAAAGAUCCACCUACAACCUCUGGUCCUCAGGCCAACCAGCCCAAGGAACAUCUCACCAAUUUUAUAUCCGGUACCCACUGGAAAUUGGACUCUCCAACUCACCCGGCAGCCACUCCCAGAGCCACUGGAACUCUGGCCCAACGCUCUCUGACUGACUCCUUCCCAGAUCAUCUCAGCUUAGCGGCUGAAGAUUGAUGCUGCCCAAUCACCUCAGAAGCUUCCUGGACCAUCACAUACGCUUUGGGUAACUCUUACAGUGGAGGGGAUAUCCCCUCUCACAUUGGCAGCCAGGCUGAGAAAGGGCUUCAAGAUCCCCGCAGAAUGACAACUCUUGUUCCUGCAACCCUCUCCUUCCUUCUUCUCUGGACCCUGCCAGGGCAGGUCCUCCUCAGGGUGGCCUUGGCAAAAGAGGAAGUCAAAUCUGGAACCAAGGGGUCCCAGCCCAUGUCCCCCUCUGAUUUCCUAGACAAACUUAUGGGGCGAACAUCUGGAUAUGAUGCCAGGAUUCGGCCCAAUUUUAAAGGCCCACCCGUGAACGUGACCUGCAACAUCUUCAUCAACAGUUUCAGCUCCAUCACCAAGACCACAAUGGACUACCGGGUGAAUGUCUUCUUGCGGCAACAGUGGAAUGACCCACGCCUGUCCUACCGAGAAUAUCCUGAUGACUCUCUGGACCUCGAUCCCUCCAUGCUGGACUCUAUCUGGAAGCCAGACCUCUUCUUUGCUAAUGAGAAAGGGGCCAACUUCCAUGAGGUGACCACGGACAACAAGUUACUGCGCAUCUUCAAGAAUGGGAAUGUGCUGUACAGCAUCAGGCUGACCCUCAUUUUGUCCUGCCUGAUGGACCUCAAGAACUUCCCCAUGGACAUCCAGACCUGCACGAUGCAGCUUGAGAGCUUUGGCUACACCAUGAAAGACCUCGUGUUUGAGUGGCUGGAAGAUGCUCCUGCUGUCCAAGUGGCUGAGGGGCUGACUCUGCCCCAGUUUAUCUUGCGGGAUGAGAAGGAUCUAGGCUGUUGUACCAAGCACUACAACACAGGGAAAUUCACCUGCAUCGAGGUAAAGUUUCACCUGGAACGGCAGAUGGGCUACUAUCUGAUUCAGAUGUACAUCCCCAGCCUACUCAUCGUCAUCCUGUCCUGGGUCUCCUUCUGGAUCAACAUGGAUGCUGCCCCUGCCCGUGUGGGCCUGGGCAUCACCACCGUGCUCACCAUGACCACCCAGAGCUCUGGCUCCCGGGCCUCUUUGCCUAAGGUGUCCUACGUGAAGGCAAUCGACAUCUGGAUGGCUGUGUGUCUGCUCUUUGUGUUCGCUGCCUUGCUGGAGUAUGCUGCCAUAAAUUUUGUUUCUCGUCAGCAUAAAGAAUUCAUACGACUUCGAAGAAGGCAGAGGCGCCAACGCUUGUUUCAGCCCUGAAAGACCCAAGUCUUAGGAACACCUUCCGUUCUGGACAAACCGAGAUGACAGUUUGCAUCGUCCUCCAAGAGGCCAUUGCACUUCAGGAGGAAGAUAUCAUCCAAGAAAGUCGUUUCUAUUUCCGUGGCUAUGGCUUGGGCCACUGCCUGCAGGCAAGAGAUGGAGGUCCAAUGGAAGGUUCUGGCAUUUAUAGUCCCCAACCUCCAGCCCCUCUUCUAAGGGAAGGAGAAACCACGCGGAAACUCUACGUGGACUGAGCCAAGAGAAUUGACACCAUCUCCCGGGCUGUCUUCCCUUUCACUUUCCUCAUCUUCAAUAUCUUCUACUGGGUUGUCUAUAAAGUGCUAUGGUCAGAAGAUAUCCACCAGGCUCUGUGAAUAGGGUGGGAGCUAUAGAGUCCUGCUGCUGGCCUCCUGCUUCCUCCUGGGUGGGCUUUCUCCCUCAGUUAGACUCCAUUAGGGGUUUGGACAGUUCCUUCCUGAUCUCCCACUCAGAACUUCAACUACCAGUCCCAAAGCUAUGUGGGCCUAUAUUGCAUGGUGCCAAUGGUGGCUGUACUUAUAAAGA
ensembl:lncRNA novel transcript